UCCGGUUGUCCCCGGGAAUUAUUGGGCGUAAGGGCUCGCAGGCGGUUUCUUAAGUCUGAUGUGAAAGCCCCCGGCUCAACCGGGGAGGGUCAUUGGAAACUGGGAAACUUGAGUGCAGAAGAGGAGAGUGGAAUUCCACGUGUAGCGGUGAAAUGCGUAGAGAUGUGGAGGAACACCAGUGGCGAAGGCGACUCUCUGGUCUGUAACUGACGCUGAGGAGCGAAAGCGUGGGGAGCGAACAGGAUUAGAUACCCUGGUAGUCCACGCCGUAAACGAUGAGUGCUAAGUGUUAGGGGGUUUCCGCCCCUUAGUGCUGCAGCUAACGCAUUAAGCACUCCGCCUGGGGAGUACGGUCGCAAGACUGAAACUCAAAGGAAUUGACGGGGGCCCGCACAAGCGGUGGAGCAUGUGGUUUAAUUCGAAGCAACGCGAAGAACCUUACCAGGUCUUGACAUCCUCUGACAACCCUAGAGAUAGGGCUUUCCCUUCGGGGACAGAGUGACAGGUGGUGCAUGGUUGUCGUCAGCUCGUGUCGUGAGAUGUUGGGUUAAGUCCCGCAACGAGCG
rnacentral:rRNA from 1 species